rnacentral:rRNA from 1 species
GACGAACGCUGGCGGCGUGCUUAACACAUGCAAGUGGAGCGACGAACCAGGGCUUGCCCUGGGGCAGAGCCGCGAACGGGUGAGUAACACGUGGGUUACCUACCCCGAUGACCGGGACAACCCGAGGAAACUACGGGCUAAUACCGGAUGUGGUCUUCGGACGAAAGGAAGCUUCGGCCUCCGCAUCGGGAUGGGCCCGCGGCGCAUUAGCUUGUUGGUGGGGUAACGGGCCUACCAAGGCGACGAUGCGUAGCUGGUCUGAGAGGACGAUCAGCCACACUGGGACUGAGACACGGCCCAGACUCCUACGGGAGGGCAGCAGUGGGGAAUCUUGCGCAAUGCGCGAAAGCGUGACGCAGCAACGCCGCGUGGGGAAGAA